CCACAGUUUGAUUUGGAACAUACAGGACAAUUUAUUGAAGUCAAUCUCAAGCAAAAUCUGAAGUCAGUGGAAUGUCAUUAAGAACCUUUCCAAAUUAAUCCUCAUGGAAGCAAAAAACACAUCUGAAUUCCAAAGUAUUUGUAAAAUAAAAAAAGGCAACAUCUCAGUAAAUAUAAUGUACAAAAAUUUAUGUUCCUACCAGCACACACAGUAGUAAGAAGCUUAAAAUUCCAGGCAAUCCUAAAUAUACUAUAACUAGUCAACAAUAAGCUAUCUAUAUACAGGUUAACCAAGCUUUACACGUUUCACACUAUGCAGUAAAACAUAGGCCAUUCAACAAAACCCCCAAAAUAUCAUAUAUCUUGAAGUCUAUGUGGCAACAUCAAGUCAUUAUACAGUAAUGCCCUAGUGGAACGCCCCCCAGGGAAAAUGAACACUAAUCCCUUAGUGUCAAGAGCUUCUAGCCAACUCACAGAAACUCAAAAGAGAUUGACUUUAGUGAAUAUUGAUCCUUUGUUAUUAAAGACUCAAGUCUCAAGUGAUUUAGGCAAAAUAACAUUUCACAGGAUCUACAAAUUUAUUACAGAUAAACAAAGUACAGAAAUAACCAAUCUACAAAGGUCAUUAUCAUAGAUAAAGAUCACAAGAAAAAGAAAACAAUCUGUAGGUAUCUGUGUUUGCUGUGCAAUAUCACAAGUGGUUACAAAUGAAUUUCUCCUAUCAAUUCCAAUUAUGCACACACCCUUGUAUAGAAAAAGGAUCUUAUUUAGCCAGUUGUAAGCAUCAUUUAGUAUCAAUCAUCAUUUAGCAUCUUGGUCAUCGGAGGCAAUGUGAUUUUCUUUUUUAACAGAGGGUAUGUGACAGCACAAAUGAGAUAAAGAGCAGUAUUAAUAACAACAGAGUAAAAAGUAAAUUGUAUCCAGUCCACUCCUAACCUGACAAGAACACCUCAUACAUACCUCGUCUCGGUGAUCUGAUGGACAUUGCGCGCCCCGCGUGCAUACGUCAAGGUCUGUGGCAGGUGGGCGGGGGCGGCACCUGAGGGGGCUUGCCUGCCAACUCGCAGAUCCGGAGGGUCACAUAAGAAAACUAAGGACUGAAUAAAUGACUUUGGCAACUGUUCAUCUUUUUCACUUUUUCUUACAUGUAACUGACUUUCACAGGCUACAGAAGGGCAGGCUGCUCUCCUCCUCCCCACCAUACACACAUCUGUGCCACAAGCACCUGAACUUGUCACUUAAGCAAUGGACUGACGGAGAAAAGAACGGAAAUGGUUUCUGAAACACACACAGACGACAGCCUGCGUUUCAGGAGUAUAACGUAAGUGCAAAUUUUUGUUUUUUCCCCUACACAGGCGUAUGUAUUAAAAGAAAAGAAGAGCUGCACACGGAUGGGGUUGACCAAAAUACAAGAGAAAGAACACACAUGGCAAAUACUCAUAAAAAUGCUGGUAUUUCAUGCAAGAGUCUCUUCCUCGAAUGUAUACAUGAAAUCUGAGCUAUCUGCUGUGGACACUCCAUCCCACUCGCAGAACUUUGCCUUUAAUGCAAGUUGAAGAGGACAAGAGACUAGGCUAUUUGUUUUCAAAACAGUAUACAAAACAAUGCUUUCUACUUCAUAAAUUUAAAAAUAACUGUAAAAUAAGGGGAAUCUGAAGAGUUUCAAGUACUUAAAAAACCUGAAUUCAAUGAGGCAGAGGUCUCAAUGUUAAAGUGACUACUUCGUACCUGUGGUAAACGUUGUCAUUCCCCCUCCCUCACCCUGUUCUAACCCCCUUUUCUUCCUGUACCCCGCCCCGGGGAAAAGUUGGUAGAUUUCAGUAUGUACACAUUUCCAACUUUUCAAUAUUCGUUAGUACACGGCAAAGCCGUCUAAUCAGAUCUCUCCCUAGCUUCGCUGAAAAUGGAGGCGAGCUCUCCUCUCGGUUUACAGACAACCAGGGAGCAACUGCAAGUGGUCUAGGCCAACGGAAAUCGUUCCAAAUGAUCACUUUGUGUGUGCAGCAACCUGGCCGACUCCGGAAGUCGAAUCUGCUCCACCUGGCAGUAAAGCCUCUUGCCAGCGGCAUCGCACCUCCUCCCGGGUGAGCUUCCCAAGCCCAAAGGGCUCUACCACAACCUGUGUCCUUAUCCUCUCGGGACAUGGCGUGUGGCAGCUCCCUGAUUUCCAGGUGGAUGCUAAAGGAAGCUUUGUACCUAACAAUGAAAUGAAGGACCAGCCAUGAACCUGGGGGGUCCAGUGACGACGCUCUGUAGGGCUGCCCUCUGCCGUCCAGGCCGGCUCUGACCCCGAUUAGAACACAGACUGCGCAGCGAGGCCAAAAGGAAGCUACUUUAUGAGCCAGGAGAGAAACCUGUCCAACAGCCUGCCUGCUCUGAGAGUCUUUUACAUGGUUAUCUCAGAAUUUCAAAACAUUAUUUACAAGCAUGUUUCCAAGUAUUGUGUGGAAAUAGCAGAAGGGAGCUCAGAGCCACACCCCCAUUAUUAUUAUUAUUAUUAUUAUUUUCGUUUUUACAUUUGUUCCUGACUUGAACACACAGAGAGCUCCAAGUUUCAGUGAUUCAAGAAGUCGGCCUAUUCUAUAGCUCAGGCCAGAUCAUUUCAGAGAAUUAAGGUAGAGUAGGAAUUUGUUAAGAUAAAAAUGAAAAUAAAACCCACCUCCCUCCUGACUCUAACCCUGAUUAGAUAUUAAAGAAGAGAAUCACUUCCUCCAGCCGUGCUGGCCUUCCAGAAAUGAGGGGCAGGUGACCGCAACCCUCCUGACCCUGCUACUGGCCACGGGCCAGCCCCUGUCUGCACCGUGCAUGCCGGGAGGGCCCAUUUCCUCUACAGCUGUAACCCAACAGAUUUCUGAAGCUUUAUGCUGAUUAUCAAAAACUUUACAUUCACUUUUUCCAAAGAAGUAAUAUGAGGCUAAAAAACAAACAAAGAAAAACCACCAUUAUCCCAUGAUGCUUUAUCUCAUUUUUGGACAAGAAUAAAACCCAAACCAUUUCUGCUCUGACCACGGAUUUGAAAGUUAACAAAACCAACUACAGACCACAAGAGAGCAACAUGUCCUCUGGCCCACCGGGUUGGUGAGGCGCAGGCAAGCACGGUGCGUGCACACGCUGCGCACGGGAAGCACAGCUUUCUCCCCUGGCUUUCCACUUCCACAGCCUGCAACGUGAAGAUACAAAGAUACGUACAACAAGUCGGUCGUGACGCCACGGAGGUGUGAGGAGAGCUCUGGGCCACUGGCGGGACGAAAGCCUCUUUCUGGACCACUAAAGAGCACUCCUGGAUGAAGCCUCCAGAGCUGUAGUUAGUAGCUAUUUUGUUUUUUACCCUAAUUUCUGAAAUGGCAGAAUGAUCCUGUUAGGUACCCUCCCACCCCCCCCCCCAAAAGAUUUAAAAAUCUCAGCAGAGCCAUUAUGACAAAAUGUGACAUGAUGAGGAAGCUGCAUGAAAAUAUUGAAACCUAAGGUAUUUGUAAGUAUAUGGAUGGACCCUGGCUUACCAUAUAAAAGUCAUCAGAUAUUAAAUAGCACUAAGUCCAAAACAAAGCAAGAAGAGAAGAGUUCAUGUGGGAUACGGUUUCAACAAGAGUUAUAUUUUGAAUGUUAAAAGAAAUCCUUCAUAUUAGUAAGUUUAAAAAAGCAAACAUUUAUCUCAUAUAUAUAUAUAUAUAUAUACACACACAUAUAUAUAUAUAAAAUAAAGUUUUAGUAUGAUAAAACCUAGAUUUUCUUAAAUUAUUUUUUAAAAGGAUAUCAAACUAUAUAGUUGCUCAAGAGCAAAGUUUAGUGUUUUGGUGCGCUGUGCUGCACGUUACUGGUAGCGAUUCGAUCUGGUAACAUGCACAGCAUUUUCCAUUUUGCUCUUUCUCCUGGGACCAUAUCUAAUCAAGAGAAUUCCUGGAGGCUCUAUAAGUUACCUCAGAAUUAAUUGCUGGAAUCAGGCAAAUGGCAGUUUAGGAGCUUAAGUAAAGGAAUUGUAGUGUGAUAUAUUUUUUUUUUUUUGUUUUAUGUUUUUUUUUUUAACAAGAGAAAAUCCAGUUCAAUUGCACAUUUACAUUUAAAAAAAAAAAAGAGAGAGAGAGAGGCACAAAACAGCUAUUUUUUUUCUUUUUUCCAGAGAAGAACUCUAAAUUGAUAAGAAAAAAGGAACACACAGAACUGAAGGAACAUGGCUGAGCAUCUCCCCUCCCUCCCUUCCGAAGGUUCCUAGGUGCUUCUUGAGGGAAAAUAAAUGCCACCAGAGUGAAGACAUCUCUUUUUUCCCCCGCUGCAAAGGCAUGAAGCAUAAUAGAAGGCAAGAGAAGACCAAGGGAAUUUGGCCGGCCACGAAAGAAUCCCCAACCCACAAAACAGAAAAACAGCCCAGGCCACCUGCUUCUGCCCGCGAGUUUCUGGCCCCAGGGCGCAGGGCCACAAGGCGGCGCCCGGGGAAGGGGCUUGCGCAGGGCAGCCGCUUUCUCCUGCCCACGUGCCACCGAGUCACUGGUUUCUUUUCCUUUUUUUUCCAUCUCGAUAAAAAGAAAAAGAAAAUCACCACCCAUUUAUUCUUUCAGUUCUUCUCCAUGAUCUUGUGACUCCAAUUUGCAUUUGAUCUUGCUCCAGUAUUCUGCGGACACAGGAGACUCGGGGUCAUGCUCGGAGCAGCAGAGCCGGCCUUCCAGAGCAGAGGGGACCAGAGCGCCCUCUUCAUGAUCUUUACAAAAUGAGUGUGGGCAGAACUCGCAGAAGGAGACGGCAGCGCGGCUGCACUCCUCGCACUGAUGCCACGGGCAUUCCCACUUUCCUACGGAGGGGUGCGAACAGGGAAAAGAGCCCCAUUAGUGCCCCUCUUGAUUACCCACGAAAAACCCAAGUUUGCACCAUCUGCUGAGACUGGAGACUGAAUUCAAUUAGAACACAACUCCAAAUUCUGCCCAAACUUACGUCUGAGUGUACUAUUGAGAAUGGACGCAGUGCGCAUCCCAAACUCACCGCCAGAGAGAGGAGCCAACUGCUCGCCCAUGGUAACAAGGUCUGAGAAACCAAUCCUCCUGGCCCGCACCUAUCCCACAUUUGCAGACAGACUUUUCACUAGCAUACUUUGUUUCUAGUGUUGGUUGUUCUGUUCAUUAUCCAUCCCAUGGCUCCACUAAGGGGAGCAAAGUACAUUCUAGGUGACACAUCACUGGCCAAGACGCAAGACAGGGAAAGGGUCCCAAAAGGCUCGCUUACCAUAUGGUGGCUGAGUCAGGUUAAGGCAUAAGAGGUGGUAUGCUUUGGGACAGUCUUUUUUGUCACACAUGACCAGCUCUCCACCAUCUCCACAUUGAAAACAGUAGUCUUCAUGCAUCUGCUUUGGUUCUGCUUUGAUUUUUCGCCUCUUCUGCUUUAACUUAGCAUUUUUGGCUUUUUCUUCGGCUGUUGACGCACAUGUCGACUGGCAGGGAGAAGGAGAACACAGCGUGUGAAGCUCUACAUGGAAAGGGAGCUCCCGCAGCCUCACACUCAUCUGAGUUCUCUUAAGCUCUGUAGUUCAGUUACCUAAAAACCAGCAGGAGGACUUCGCCCAUAACAGUAUUGUAAUAAAAAUAAGGCUUCAUUUUCACUGAUUUUUUAAUACGGCGCUUUAUUUUUUUAAAGCAAGGAUUCACAUACCACAGAACUCACCACUUCAAAGUGGCUCAUCCAGUGGUUUUGGGUAUAGUGUGAAUUUUUAAGAAGUUUUUGAAAAGGAUGUUGGUAACUCCAGAUUCAAUGAGAAAUACAAACAUCUCUUCAGAACCUGAUGGAUGCGAACUAAACUGGGGACCCAUUCGCUGGCCUGGGGCACUCGCUCCCUGCACCACUGACCUUGGGCCGCACUCCCAGGAAGCCGCUGCAGUUUUCUGCCCCACAGUGGCAUUCCGUUCUGCCGUUGCCCAGACAAUCCAGGUUAUAAUUAAAUGUUAACUCCAUCCCUAAAGUAAGAGAAAUAAUUACUCAUACUCGAGUCAAAGGGAAGAGACAUGCUGUCACACACGCACUCUCAUAAUGAAAAGACAGACAUAAUUCUGACCCGAAGGCUUUUCUCUCACUCGUGCUCCACACUGAAGAGCGAUGGGGGAGAAACAAUAGAGAAAAACACCCCCAUCCACCAAAUAUUGCAGAAAAAACAGUCUAUAAAAGCUGUCAUAUCCUUCUCAUUGAAGUGGUCAGAAACUAUGUAACUGAGACUAAGAAUUGGAAAUCUGCUCGGGAGAAAAGGGCUCUGCUUUAGCUUGCUUUUCUAAAGUAAUUUACAUGGCUUUCUGAAUGAACAGUAGGGCCGUGGAGUAGCAGCGACCACACGGUCCCUGGUGAUUAAUGCUUUAGAGUGUGCUUGGAGAAGAGCUCACAGUGCGGAUUUACUAGUCACACCAAAGACCCAGGGACUCGAACCGGGUCGUCCAAGCUUGCUGCUGGGCUGGUCCUGAACAGAGUCCCCGGGAUCAGCUACAGCUCUUCCCUGUUCACCCAUUUCUCUAAACCCUGGCAGAGAAGCAGCUAAGUGUUGCUGGUAAGAUGCUGGGCGGCUGAGGGAACAGGGAAGCAGUAACUGCCUUCAGAAGCUUUUUGAGUCUAAUUUGAAACAGACUGAUCUUUCAACUAAAAAACAAACAAACAACCCCCCCCCCCGACACAAACCAAGAAAGCAGCUGAUGUUAACCCAGUAUGUUAAUGCUUUAAAUAAGAGAACAAAAGCUUAAACAUCUGGUUGUAUUGUGCAGACAGCAAUAAUUGGGAGAAGUCAUUCAGGAGGGUCGUGGACGCACAGGAUUCUGUAACAUCCUCUUGGGCAGAAAGGCUCUUGCUCGACUCCCUUUUGCAGGACACAGAUUUUCACUUCUUCGUGGCAGAUAACAAUUCCAAAUGUAACCCCAUCGUACCUGAAUAAAUACUUGAGCAUCAAACCUGGAAGGAUAUUCUGCCCAGAGAGGGGCACAUGGGGAGCAAAUAGCUUUGUUACCUGCAGGAAUAUCACGAAGGGCGAACAGCCCCACUCGAACAUCUCCAUUCACUGUCCACUUCUGUGUUUCACAGUUUGGAUUACAACUGUGGUUCAUAAAGCGAGAAUAAUUUCCUUUGGGGCCAGCAUCAAUUAUACGGUCCUUCAGAAAGAAAAGCAAUGGAGGUAGCUUUGACAUAAAAUCAAGUAGGAGCCUAUCUCAGAAACAUGCAACCCCAGCCCGAGUCUAUGGCAGCUGCCAACUCCCCGAACACAUGCUCUCAGGGCCGGUGACCAAGUUGUCUACUUUAUUUGAUGAGCUUCAAGCCAAGACAAUGAAGAUAAAGUGGAAUUCAGUUUCUAUUUUUUUAAACUGUUUCUAGACACAGAUCAUAGAAAAAUGCUACUUAGAAAAUGCACUGGCCGCGGGGAUGCCAGAGCACAGAGUUCAGCCCGCCGCCUGGGGUGGGAACCACGCUGCUGGCUGCCAGCCCUCCUUUCCUGCAAAACCAGUGCGGGGCUACAUGGACAGGACAGCACACCAUAAAGAGGGACAGAGGAAGUAUGGGAGACUUUCCUCUGAAUGAAGAUCCGGACGUUUGAUCAACGGAAGGGCUAUCACGUGAGACAUACUCUGCAGUGGUUACCUGCUCCUCCUAUUUUCACUUACACUGACGUUCAGAACACAGUGAAAAGCUCAACAUUCUGGCCCUGAAUUCAAACUCUGAUCAUCUGGAUGAGUUCUGGAGGACGGAGCCUCCCAAGUGUCAUCACGAUGGCUGGAGGGCCUCCGACAGUGAGCAGCGGGCUUAGAGGGCCACUCAGCCAUCAGAAAUAAAUGGCAUUUUAUAUUUAUGAAAUUUAUGUUCUUGAAAGUGGUAAAACUGUCAAACCAUGACAUAUCAGUUAAAAUAGAGUUCUUGUGA